rnacentral:snRNA from 1 species
GUGCUCGCUUCAGCAGUACAUACACUAAAAUUGGAACAAUACAGAGAAGAUUAGCAUGGCCCCCGUGCAAGGAUGACAUGCAAAUUCAUGAUGUGUUCCAUAUUUUU